GGAUUAUGGCUCAGUGGUAGAGUGCUUGCCUUGCACAUGCAAGGCCCUGGGUUUGAUCCUCAGCACCA
rnacentral:tRNA from 1 species